UCUCCGUAGGUGAACCUGCGGAGGGAUCAUUACUGAGUGAGGGGCUCCGGCCCCAGACCUCCAACCCAUUGUUAUCCGGCACUGUUGCCUCGGGGGAGACCCUGCCUCCGGGCGGGUGGCACCCCGGUGGACCAAACCAAACUCUUGCGUAACAUGUCGUCUGAGUCGAUUUAAAAAUAAAUCAAAACUUUCAACAACGGAUCUCUUGGUUCUGGCAUCGAUGAAGAACGCAGC
rnacentral:misc_RNA from 1 species